CAGCAAAUCGAGUAAAGUUUUGAUGUCGGUGUAGUCAUCAGCCAGGCAGUUCCAAGCCUUGGGCACCAAACAUCCAACGAAGUGCUCCGUAGCUCCAUAUGUUCUCCGUUCACUUUGAUAAGAAACCUUCAGGUCUGCAUGAAUCGUUAAACUCGUCUACCAGAACGUAACGUAGAUUCACUAAAAACAUAUGUGUAACGAAUGCGCAACAAAUAGUCCAAAUAUACAGCUUUCAUUCUUUCAUCCAAGCGGACAUUAAGUACUAGAAUAAAUCAUAAUUCGCCGCUAUAAACCAUAGUCCCUUAUUCUUUCCUCAUUUAGAAAAGACUGCUGGAGGUUUGCACGAUUUAGGAUUGUUCAGUAACAAAAUACUGUUUAUUAUCUUCAUUUGCACAUACAGUGUGCUAAUAUAUGUACCAUUUACAUAAUUAAAGAUACGCGUGGAGACUUCAGUUAGGAUUUGAACAUCGCGUAAAUCAGGAAUUACGCGUUUUUAUUUAUCGGAAACAUGACUAUAGAUUUUGUAAACAGAGUCUUGCCCAGCUGUAUACCAAAGUUCCGUUUUAUAAGUAUUAAAGCAACGUCACAAAGCAGUCUUCUGUGACUGAAUUCUUGACUGCUUCUUAACGAAUU